rnacentral:tRNA from 1 species
AGAGUGGCUGAAUAAUAGGCGGUAGAUUGUAAGUCUAUUUAUAAGUUAUAUACUUCUCUGUUAGUAGAUGUAG